rnacentral:misc_RNA from 1 species
UGAAUUGCGAUAAGUAAUGUGACUUGCAUUCAUUUGUGAAUCAUCGAAUCUUUGAACGCACCUUGCACUUGAAGAGUCAAUUUUCAAGUAUACCUGUUUGAGUAUCAUACACAUUAAUCUAAGAAUUUUAAUUUCAAUAGUUUUAAUUCAUAGGAUUUGAGAGGACAGUGCUAAGGCGUUGUCUCUUUAAACGUAUGAAGGGAUGAUGUUGGAUUUUCAAAGAAUCUGAAAUGAGGAGGUUUGCGCAAGCAAAAGUCACAUACUAGGACCUUUGAAAGCCCAACAACUAAUCACACCUUGAAACAUUUUAGCUAGCUAGCAAUCAACUCCGUAAGGAGUUGCCAGCAAAGCAAAGCAAAAAAGAACAAAUGUGAUCUCAAAUCAGGCAAGAUUACCCGCU